rnacentral:lncRNA from 1 species
ACAUCCUCCUUAGGGAGAACAGAAGGGUUUGCAGAGCAUUGUGAAGCAGCAGGCAACAGCACUGUGUGAACCCUGCAGCAAGCAGAAACCCCUCUGGAUCCUCUAUUUAUCUUUUAUUUGUCUUGAAGUUCUGGCAGCAGCUCAGUUCCUUCUAAAUGGGGACCACAAGAGUACUAUGCCUUUUGCAUCAUGCAGAAAUGAGAAAGAAAAUAAAAUCUACUGGCAAUACAUAUAUUAAUAUAUCAACAACUGAAAGGAUUGUAAUCAGUGAAGGAGGAUGAUACAUGAACCUUUAGAGAACUGGAGUCCAAGAUGAAGGCUGAUGGAGUGCUACUGUGUUUGAUCAGCUCGUUUAAACCAGUAUGCAAUGUAUUCUGGUACAGCUUUGUUCUUCUGACCCGAAAGCCUCGACUCAGUCCUGGAAAGUCUGUGAUAUCCUGUUGGGUUGGAAGCAUAGUGAAAACUCUCAUUUGCUUUCACAACAGACUUGUCUUACUUGAGCUCUAUUAGAAACAUCUACAAGUAUACUGCACAGCACAGUAUCAAAUUUACAAUUCAGGGUCAUGCAGUAAAAUCAUAAUAAAAUGAUUGAUUGUGACA